CGCCUGGGUGUGAACACAAAAAACGUGGCGAAAAACGCUGGCGAAUAACGCCUGGCGAAUAUUCGUCCCGGUGUUUACGGGCCUUAAGGUUGUCACCAGAGAACUUCUCUUUGGAAUUGUAUUGAAUUAUGCCAUUAUAAAUCCAAUUCAAUUGUUAUUGUGACACCGAACCCACUCUUGACCAUGAAUCAUUGUAAUCCACAGAAAUCUAAAGAGUGAAGCUGCUAUAUUUGAACUUUUUCUGUUGUUGUUUUCCAAACCUCAUGUUUGCAUCACUUCUGAUGUUGCACGUCGGCUGCUUGGCCUCAAGCAAACCAAACCAAAUGACACAUAAUUUAAUGAGUCCCAUUUACUGUCUCAACUAAUGCUUGUUUAUUUUCGUAAAAACACACCUUGUGUGUGUUUGUGUGUGUGAGGGAACGCGUGUGACUGUUACAGGUGGCCGCCCAGUAGGUGGGAAAAUGCAGGAAGUCUGCUUGUCUGUGUCCACAUGUAUCAGACGCAGCAUGUUUUUCCCUUUCAGAGGCGAGGUAUCCUGUACGAGUGUGUGUACUCCUGUGUGUGAUUGUCGCCGAUCGCACUGGGCGACUGACUUCCAGGAACCCCUGCAGCAAAAACAGGCACUGUUUCCUCAACGCCUAUCCUUGUGCCUCCGGCUGUCAAGAUGUUUCGCAGUGAUUGUCAUGAGAGAACUUGUUCUCCGGGACCGCAGCGGAGGACACAAAUAGGCGAGGAGUGACGGCAUCCUCGCAGUGCUGCUGCUUUUUUUUUUUUCUUUUUUCUUCUGACCACAUUUGGCUGCUCACUCUGAUUCGGCGAGAUGGUUUCCAGAUGGUGAAGGGAAAGUGCCGGCCUGACGUUGCUGCAGGCCAGUUCGGUGUGUGCCUUUCUCCGCUGAAGGAACAGUGGGGAUUGGGAGUGUGGAAGUGGAUUUGUACUGGGGGCAGACAUGCAUUUGGUUAUUUCCCACCACCUGUGGCACAUGCCCACUAAAGCUGUCUUCCACGGCCUUAUAAGGCUAUAGUCACAUCUGGGUUGACUACUUCUUUAGAGAUUAGGUUAAGCUACCAAUGAAUUUUACAAUGAAAGUAGUAAAGAUGGUGCUGUCAUGUCAGAUGGAAAAUAUUUACAGUAAAACAUUUGUACUCAUUCAUGCUAUCCUGUUGAAUCUCUAAGAGUUUACUAUAGAGCCAAUAGUUUUUGUCACACUCAUGAAGGGACAAUUUCAAAAUUAUCCACCAACAUUCCCGGUUGAUGUUUCUGUAAACCACUGAUUGUAUAAGAGGUCUGGACUGAGUUAGUGUGAUGUUAUCCAUAGAAAAAAGGUUCAAUUCAGUCGUCAUUUCUUUUGUGAUACGGACGUCGCCAUGUUGAAACCAGCAAUCAUCACCAAGCACUGAUUGGUUUGAGUCAUUGUUUCAAUAGGCAACCACUCUCGCCAAUCAGGAUUGAGCUUGUUGGAAGUCCACACCACUUGAAAACAGGCGACACGAAAUCUGUAAAACAAUUUGAAUGUUCAAUUUGAGACCAAAUGCUAUUAUUGAGGCAUCUGAUUGGUCACUUUAGACCUUCAAUAACUUGCACUACAGCAA